GGAGGGGUCGCAUAGUGGCCGAGUGCGCACGCUUGGAAAGCGUGUUCUCGAGUAAUCGGGACGUGGGUUCGAAUCCCACCCCCUCCGCCA
rnacentral:tRNA from 1 species